rnacentral:rRNA from 1 species
GAUGAACGCUAGCUACAGGCUUAACACAUGCAAGUCGAGGGGUAACGAGAGGAAAGCUUGCUUUCCUUGUCGACGACCGGCGCACGGGUGAGUAACGCGUAUCCAACCUGCCCCCAACUAGGGAAUAACCUUGCGAAAGUAAGACUAAUACCCUAUAAUUUCCUCAGAUGUCAUCUGACGAGGAAUAAAGAUUUAUCGGUUGUGGAUGGGGAUGCGUCUGAUUAGCUUGUUGGCGGGGUAACGGCCCACCAAGGCAACGAUCAGUAGGGGUUCUGAGAGGAAGGUCCCCCACAUUGGAACUGAGACACGGUCCAAAAUCCUACGGGAGGCAGCAGCGAGGAAUAUUGGUCAAUGGGCGGAAGCCUGAACCAGCCAAGUAGCGUGCAGGAUGACGGCCCUAUGGGUUGUAAACUGCUUUUAUACAGGAAUAAAGUUAGCCACGUGUGGUUAUUUGUAGGUACUGUAUGAAUAAGGACCGGCUAAUUCCGUGCCAGCAGCCGCGGUAA